ACCCAGCGGGUGCUGUAAACAGUACGUUGGCGGUUCACACCAGUUCAGAAGUAAGGUAUCUUAAAUUGCACUCGACAAUGUUGUGAAUACUUUAAAAUGCUUGAAGCCAUACUUGAUGCCUUCCAUAACGUGUAAAGUAAGAAGUUAGCCUGUGUUAAAAAGUGGUGAUCCCUGCAGAUUACCAAGGCAUCCAGUCUCCCAGCAAGUGCCAAGAGGCAUUCAUUCAAUGCUCCGCUGACACCAAUUUGCCCAAAGAAUAUUUAUGUGGGAGACUCCUCAGAUUGUGGAGACCCCAGAUUGUGGAGGCUCCUGGGCAGCUGGUCUUUUUGUGGACUCCUAAAUCUGGCACUGAACAAAAUUCUCUCUCUCUCUCUCUCUCUCUCUCUCUCUCUCUCUCUCUCUCUCUCUCUCUCUCUCUCUCUCUCUCUCUCUCUCUCUCUCUCUCUCUCUCUCUCUCUCUCUCUCUCUCUCUCUCUCUCUCUCUCUCUCUCUCUCUCUCUCUCUCUCUCUCUCUCUCUCUCUCUCUCUCUCUCUCUCUCUCUCUCUCUCUCUCUCUCUCUCUCUCUCUCUCUCUCUCUCUCCUCAACUCUCAACCACUGGAUGGUAUAUCAGUUCACACAGCAAGAAGCCAAGGACCCACCGAGGCUGUCACUUGGAAGAGGUCAUUGUUGUUGCAUCCAGCAUCCCAGCCUGACUGCCUAGACAGGUCCCGCAGGUUGCUGAAUGGCAGAGGUGCAGGCUGCUCCACAGCAAGAUGUGAGACCAGUGUGGCAGAGUAUGAUGUGUACACAAUGAGGGACACACUGUAGCCAACCCAGUAGAUUACCCGUGCUGCAGUGCUGAUUGGGUCCUCACCUUGUUGUAGGAGAGCUGACAACAUGUACCAGCCAGCAGCAACUCCCAUGCUAACAGGCUUCUCCCCCGUGGGUAUGUAGCACCUCUGGAGUCGCUCGAUGAAGAAGAGGAUGCUGGCGAGGCCUGUCGUGUUAGCCGGGAUGCGCCGGUACAGAGCUGUGUCCGUUGGGGUUGUGUAGGCAAACAUCUUCUUGGCAAGGUCCUCGUGGGUGGCCGCAAACAGUUUACGGCUGUGGGAUGAGAACUUGUCUUGUGAAUGUGACAUUGGGGUGAGUGUUAAUCUGAUUUUGUGUUACUAUGUUCUGUGGGGAGUGGGUGUUAAUGUGAUUUUUUGUUAACUGAAUGCUGUGUCUGACCUCCUGAGGUGUAGUAUGGUGGGCCACAAGAUUGUCCCUUUCCACUAGGGGCUGACAGAUGAUAUUAAGAGUGUGAAUGUGUGUGUGGUGCCUUGUUUGGGCCAUUUUGUGUGUGAUUGCCAGCCUGAUGUAUAGACAGCUAAAUCGUUAAUAAUAAUGAAGUUAAGAGUGUGAAUGUGUGGUGAUUUGUCUGCGGUGUCUUGGGGAGGAUUGUUGGCCUGGUAUAUAGAUAAAUAGAUUAGAAUUUGGAUUAACAGUGUCAAUGUUGUAUGUGAGUGUAUAGUGUAGUGUCUGGGCCACCCUGUAUAGGACUGCCAGCCUGGCAUAUAGAUAGAUCAAUCUAAUUAUUUGACAUUUCAUAUUCUGAACAUUUUGCUGAUCCAAUUAAUCUGUUAAGGGAGCACUUUGUUCAACAUCUUUAAAAUAUUAUUUGAUCAUCACCUGUAUCUCUCACCUGAUGAUAUAGAUAGGCUGGGUGUAGGUAACAACUUUCAACCUCUCCUCAGUGAUGGACAAUUCAGAGACAGUGAGGUCAGCUUCCCCUGACUGCAGAGCUCCUACCGUGCCCGUCCACUCGUUGCUUGAGUUGUCCUUCAGUUUCCCGUAGGCAUAACCUUCCAGUACAUUGAAACUGACUCUGUACAAGAGAGAGAGUGGGAGAAAAAUAGUGUUGUGUAUUGAGGGAAAGAAAAUUUCUGUCUUGUCUUCUCUAUUUAGGGAAAGAAAAGGAAAAGGGCAAGUAGUGUCAUAUGCAUGGAGGAAAAGGAAAAUUAUUCUCAUAUGCACUGAGCAAAAAGGAAAAGUACUGUGAUAUGUACUAAGGGAAAGGCUGGGUGUACUGAAGGGAAGGAAAAAUACUGUUGUCGUAUUUAUUGAGGAAAAGAAAGAAAUACUGUCGUAUGUACAUUUUUUAAUUGCUAGAAAGAAAAGUGAAAUAUACAUUUAUAUGUAUAGUUUAUUUUUCAUAUCAGUCACAAGUAUGGAUGUUUGUUUCCUUCUUUUUUUCACAUGUACAGCUACCUCCUCAAAUAGCAUGUAUUUUCAAAAUUUCAAGCUGCUGUGAUGAUGAAAAAAGCCUGAAAGAAAAAUGACAAGGAACAAAAAGUAAUGAGAAUAAGUUUUGUGGCAACUAUUCAUUAGGUGUCACUUUUUCACUCCUCCACUUAGACCGGUACAGUUGAACGCAAAAUGUGAAAACUUACGAGAAAUUGUGUGCAUCCCUUAGUGCAGUGACAAUAUCCCCCACAAAACCAGUGAUAUUUCUUUGACUGGAGGUUAGUUCAAUAAUUUUGAAGGCUGGGAUUAAUUUUAAUGAGGGAUGAGAGGGUGGAAGUGACUGGAGUAUAGGUUAAUAAUUCUACCAGCUGGAAAGGAUUUUGAGGGUCAGAGGAAAGUGAUUGGAUAUUAGCUUGAUAAUCGUGCUUGGUGAGAUUAAUUUUAGUGAGAGACUAGAUGGUGGGAGGAUGAUAUUUAGAGGUUAGUUUGGUAAUUUUGCCAGUUGGUAUUAAUUUUUAGUGAGGGAUGAGGGUGUCAGAAGAAUGUGACUGGAGGUUAGUUUAAUAAUUCUGAGGGUGGGAGGAAAGUAAUAGGGGGUUAGUUUAAUUUUGGUGAUGGAUGAGAGUGUGAGUGGAAAGUGUAGCUGACCACAUAAUUUAUCAAAUAGUACAAGCAUGUACACAUUCUUAAUAAUGUUCCAUGUUAAGAUAUACUAAACAUGAAGUUACUCCACAAUAUAUGAUGGUGUAAAUUACGAAUGGUUAAAGUCGAGACUUGUUUGAUGAUGGCCUGUUUGCUUGCUCCCCUUGGACGUGCGGCAAGUGCAGCAGCGUUCGACCGUUUCUCUAGGGGCAAGCGACACCUCCUGGUGGGGGACUUCAAAUCUGCUGUCGCUGCCUUCGAGGUGUGUCUGUUGCUUAGGUGUGGAGGCAACAGAGUCCCUGGUGGAGCUGUGUGGGGAGCAGGCGCCCGAGUGUGGUGACGCGUACUGCCGCUGUGGCCGUGCAUUGCUGGAGCUGGCACGCAAGGAGGCAGGGGUGCUGGGGCCAGAUCUGGAUGGUGCCAGUAGUCGUGUGUAUUGCUUGGUUAUUGUGUUAACGUGCUGGAGUGUGCACAGCCGGGAGUGUUUGGGGAAUGAAAAUAAAAGGAGUUAUGGAUGUUUAAAAAUGCAUCUUUUGAGAGCUGAGUAUACAAGAAAGUUGCUGUGUUUGCGGGAUGAGUAAACAAUGAAGAAAUGUUUUGAGGAACUGGGUGUGCAGAGGCACGAGUGUUUGGAGAAUGAGAAUACAGGAAGACAGGAGUGAUUUAGGAAUAAGUGUACAAGAAAGGAGUGUUUGAGUGACAAUAUAUAAGGAAGAGGUGUUUUGAAAAUGAGAGUACAAGGAAUGAGCAUUUUGGGAGU